rnacentral:rRNA from 1 species
UACGGAGGGUGCGAGCGUUGUCCGGAAUCACUGGGCGUAAAGGGCGCGUAGGUGGCGACUCAAGUCAACGGUGAAAGCUCGACGCUCAACGUCGAGUCGGCCGUCGAAACUGGGACGCUUGAGCACUGUAGAGGCAGAUGGAAUUCCGGGUGUAGCGGUGGAAUGCGCAGAUAUCAGGAGGAACACCAAUGGCGAAGGCAGAUCUCUGGGCCGUAACUGACGCUGAGGAGCGAAAGCAUGGGGAGCGAACAGG